CUCCAUAGGCUUUGUGAUGAACGUGUUUUCUUCAGUUUUCAGGAUGGUCAUGUUGACGAUUUCAAGAACUUGAUUGCAAGGUAUGGCUAUAGCUAUUGGUCAUGCAAUAUUGUGAGGCUUGAAAAACAUACUUGUUCGACAUAACUUUGAUUGUGCUCUCAUAGGUAAAACCAAACUCUGUCCAAUAAAAAAUUGGCAUAGCUUAACAUGCUCAGAAGGGUAAGCUUAUUUCAUUGGAGUUAUCAUGUCCAAUAUUCAGAAGAGGAUAUUCAUGUUGAUGCAUUAUCCAUAAUUAUUCUCGUUGUAAGGACGUGAUUCCAAGGGGGUCAUGGAAAGUAAGCAAGCAUGUGAAAUAAUGUUUAUUUCCUUAAAUUGGUUGAAAUUUUCUAUGCUAAUGCUUAAUUUAUAUGCUCGAACUUUCAGGUUUGGAUUUACUUUUGUAAUGGGAAGCUUGCAUCAGUUGUUGCAGAAAAAAUGCAUUGCUCAUAAAGAAGUAUUCUGGGCUUUUGAGAUAUAAAUUCUGGUGUUUAGAUAUUCUAUAUUUUAGAACCUAAUGUUGCAUACCGAGCACUAUUUUUGCCAGUUGAAAGCUCCACCGGGUGCCUUCUACAGAGUAGUUAGUUGCCAGACUCCAUUGUUAUUGUAUUUCUUAGCUAUUUGAGGUGUAUAUAAUAGUGUAAAUGCUUCAUAAAAUAACAAAAAUGUAUUGAAUGCAUAAUAGAACUGUAUAACGUUUGCCCUUGGAGAAACCUGUAUGGAGUCAUAUUGUGAUCUUCUAGAUUUAUGUUAUGAUGUUACAAGCUCAAAAUAGUGAGUUUCAUUUCACAUAUUACUAUACUAGACUCGGCCUUGUUCACCGUUUUAAUGCCUAC
rnacentral:lncRNA from 1 species